UACGGGGGGGGCAAGCGUUGUUCGGAAUUACUGGGCGUAAAGGGCGCGUAGGCGGCCCGCUAAGUCGAACGUGAAAUCCCCGAGCUCAACUCGGGAACUGCGUCCGAUACUGGCGGGCUUGAAUCCGGGAGAGGGAUGCGGAAUUCCAGGUGUAGCGGUGAAAUGCGUAGAUAUCUGGAGGAAUACCGGUGGCGAAGGCGGCAUCCUGGACCGAGAUUGACGCUGAUGAGCGAAAGCUAGGGGAGCAAACGGG
rnacentral:rRNA from 1 species